rnacentral:rRNA from 1 species
CAGUAGCCGCGGUAAUACGUAGGGUGCGAGCGUUAAUCGGAAUUACUGGGCGUAAAGCGUGCGCAGGCGGUUUGUUAAGACAGAUGUGAAAUCCCCGGGCUUAACCUGGGAACUGCAUUUGUGACUGGCCGGCUAGAGUAUGGCAGAGGGAGGUGGAAUUCCACGUGUAGCAGUGAAAUGCGUAGAUAUGUGGAGGAACACCGAUGGCGAAGGCAGCCUCCUGGGCCAAUACUGACGCUCAUGCACGAAAGCGUGGGGAGCAAACAGGAUUAGAUACCCCGGUAGUCCCUGUCUCUUAUAC